GGCUCGGACGCCGCCGACCCGCUCGGCUGGGUCCUCUGACCCCCUCCCGGCCCCGCGAGGGGCUUGGGGGCGAUGCGCGGAGCGCGGCUGGCGGUGGCGUGGGCCGCAGCUGGCCCGCCCGCCCGCCAGGGGUUCGGUGCCGCCGGGCUGCCCGGCUCCGGCCCCCGGCCCGAUGGAUCCGGAGGCCCCGAGGUCGCGCGCGGAAUCCGCCCGCAAAGACAGGUGGCUUCCAGGAGAAAGAUGUCUUGCUCCUUCUCCAUAUGAUGAAAAACUUUGUGAAGCAAGCAUAAAAUCUAUCACAGUGGAUGAAAAUGGCAAGUCAUUUGCUGUUGUCUUAUAUUCAGAUUUUCAAGAAAGGAAAAUACCUCUUAAAAGACUUCAAGAAGUAAAAUCUGCUAAAGGUUGCCCCAGGAGUUUUAUAUUUGAUGAUGAAGAUUUGGAAAAACCAUUUUUCCCAGACCGAAAAUUUCCAUCAUCUGCUAAUGCCUUUAAAUUAUCUGAAGAUGGAGAUUCUAUUCCUUAUACCAUUAAUAGGUAUUUGAGAGACUACCAAAGGGAAGGAGCUCAGUUUCUCUAUGGACACUACAUCCAAGGAAGAGGAUGUAUUCUGGGUGAUGACAUGGGACUUGGAAAAACAGUUCAGGUUAUUUCAUUUCUGGCUGCAGUGUUGCAUAAAAAGGGAACACGUGAGGAUAUUGAAAAUAACAUGCCAGAAUUUUUACUAAGAAGUAUGAAGAAGGAACUGCUUUCUUCUAUAGCAAAAAAGAUGUUCUUAAUAGUUGCUCCUCUUUCUGUCCUCUACAACUGGAAGGAUGAAUUGGAUACCUGGGGAUAUUUCAGAGUCACUGUUUUACACGGUAACAAAAAAGACAAUGAACUGCUUCGUAUAAAGCAGAGGAAAUGCGAAAUUGCUCUAACAACUUAUGAAACACUGCGCUUGUGUCUGGAUGAACUUAACAGUUUGGAGUGGUCAGCUAUCAUUGUGGAUGAGGCUCAUAGAAUCAAGAAUCCAAAGGCGAGAGUAACAGAAGUAAUGAAAGCGCUCAAGUGUAAUGUUCGCAUUGGCCUCACUGGAACCAUUCUUCAGAACAACAUGAAGGAACUGUGGUGUGUUAUGGACUGGGCUGUGCCAGGACUUUUAGGUAGCAGGAUCCACUUCAAGAAGCAGUUUUCUGACCCAGUAGAACAUGGUCAGAGACACACAGCAACAAAAAGAGAACUAGCUACUGGCCGAAAGGCCAUGCAAAGGCUUGCAGAAAAGAUGUCUGGCUGGUUUCUCAGGCGAACCAAGACUCUCAUCAAGGAUCAGUUGCCUAAGAAGGAAGAUCGGAUGGUUUAUUGCUCUCUGACGGAUUUCCAGAAAGCUGUCUAUCAAACAGUGUUAGAAACAGAAGAUGUCACUCUGAUACUUCAAUCUUCUAUGCCUUGUACCUGCAGCAGUGGCCGGAAAAGGAGAAAUUGUUGUUAUAAGACCAAUUCCCGUGGUGAAACGGUACAAACCUUGUGUCUCAGUUACCUCGCAGUCCUUCAGAAGGUGGCUAAUCAUGUCGCACUGUUGCAAGCUGCCAGUACCUCCAAACAACAGGAAACACUUAUCAAAAGGAUAUGUGAUCAGGUAUUUUCCAAAUUCCCGGAUUUUGUGCAGAAAAGCAAAGAAUCGUCCUUUGAAACUCUUUCUGAUCCUAAAUACAGUGGGAAAAUGAAGGUUCUUCAGCAGCUUUUAAAUCAUUUCCGAAAAAACAGAGAUAAGGUUCUUCUCUUCUCUUUUUCCACCAAGUUGCUUGAUGUGCUCCAGCAAUACUGUAUGGCAUCUGGGCUGGAUUACCGGCGACUUGAUGGAAGUACAAAAUCAGAGGAAAGGCUCAGGAUCGUGAAGGAGUUCAACAGUACACAAGAUGUUAACAUUUGCCUUGUCUCUACUAUGGCUGGUGGACUCGGCCUCAACUUUGUUGGUGCCAAUGUUGUUAUAUUAUUUGAUCCAACUUGGAAUCCAGCCAAUGAUCUUCAAGCUAUUGACAGAGCAUACAGGAUUGGACAGUGCAGAGAUGUUAAAGUGCUUAGGCUGAUAUCCUUGGGAACUGUGGAAGAGAUCAUGUAUCUACGACAGGUAUACAAACAGCAACUUCACUGUGUGGUAGUUGGAAGUGAAAAUGCCAAGCGAUAUUUUGAAGCAGUUCAAGGAUCAAAAGAGCAUCGAGGAGAACUUUUUGGGACCUAUAAUCUCUUCAGACUAAGACCCCAAGGAUCUUGUCUUACGAGGGACAUCUUGGAGAGAGAAGGCCAAGUGGAAGCAGGAAUCAUGACUGCCACAACAUGGUUGAAAGAGAGACCUCCAGCACACAACCCAGAAACGCCCAGGGAGCCUGAUUGUCAAGAACCCAGAGGACAAGACCCACCUGCAGACCCACUGGCAGUGGACGCCUGUGAUCUCUGCAGCGACUUUAGUGAUGACGAGUCAGUGAGAGCCUCAAGAAUAAAGACUUCUAACGGCAAAGCAUCUGACGCAAGCAAAGCUGCAGGUUCUUCAGGGCAGCUGACCUUACUCCAGUGUGGCUUCUCUAAACUGUUGGAGGCAAAGUGUACAGCAGUUAAAGAUGGCAAGGGAAAUACUGCAUCUGGUGGUGAAAGUUCUGAUGAGCAGCCCAAUUGCCUUCCAGCAGAAGCCAAAGAUGCUGGUUGUCAGAAAACUCAGGACACUGUUGGUACUUCAGAACACCAGACAUUAGAUAAAAUCCUAAAUUCAAAUGAGAAACGUGUUUUUGAUAAAAGUGAGAAACUAUUAGAACAGAAUGCUUCUUCUGAGUCUGAUGUUGAAAAAAACUCUUCACAUCUGGUGGGACGUCAUUGCAAUAUACAGAAUGGCACAGAAUCAGAAGAUAGUGAUGUCAUCUUUCCCACACAAUAUGCAACUCCACGAUUCCCUAACAAUCGAGUAAGGAGUAAGCAACUCUUAGAUGAAUCUGAAGAUUCUGAAACAGAAAACCCUGUAAAAAUAAGAAACAAUGGUGAUGGUGAAGAGACUAAUGACAGAAGACAUGGACUCAUUUCAAAAAAUUUAAAUCCUGAGAACAGGACCCUGAAACCUAUUAUGAAAAGCCAAGACACUGGUGAUAUUAGUGACGAAUCUGAUGACAUUGAAAUGUACCCCAAGAUGAGGGUAAGAAAACAAAGAUCUACUAGUCGAUUGAGGCUUAAGAGGAAAAAGGAAAACAAAAGACAACUUUACAAUUUUCCUAAAACAAUGAAGAAAACAAACCAAUUGUGUGCAACAGAUGAGGGUAGUAACUCUCAAAUUAUUGAUGACUUUUCAUCAUCAGAUGACAGUAUAUCUGUCAGCCACUUCAGUGGCUCUAAACAGAGCCAUACAGCAAAAACUAUAAAAGACAAAAUCAGUUUCUCUGCAAAAUUGCCUAGGCAUCAUAAGAAAAUUAACACUUUUAUACCAAGAAAACCAAUGAAAUUUUCAAAUGAGAAAGUUGCCAAUCAAGAGCAGAUGUAUGAAUCAAUGGAUAAACUUUUAGGUGGUGUUCAGGAAGUGGCUUAUAUUCACUCAAACCAGCAUGUGAUAGGAUCCAGCAAAGCUGAGAAUCAUAUGAGCCGGUGGGCAGCGCGUGACGUGUUUGAGUUGAAGCAGUUUUCCCAGCUUCCUGCUAACAUAGCUAUUUGCAGUUCUGAGACAUAUAAAGAAAAAGCGAACCCAGCUACAGUAACACACACGAGGACAGACCAGCCACCAAGUGAAGGACCCGGUUCCUCUCCCCUGUGCGUUUCACACCCUGUAAGUCAGAAGAAGAAAAAAGUCUACCGUACAGACCAGACGACCUUCAUAAUUGGAGAAACACCAAAAGGAAUCCGCAGGAAAAAUGAUCAGGGAACGUCACUGUAAGGAGGUGACCCUGAGCCAAGGCCUGCAUUGUUCCUUCUACACCCAGGGCACCCAGAAGGUCUGUGCUGGUGUCUGGAAAUAUCCAAAGUAAACAGAAAGCUGUAUCUUUUGCUCCUGCCCAGCCUGAACAAGCUCUUUCCCAGCAAGCACAGGAGGGCUUGGGUCCAGGAGAGAAGAAUCUCCCAGCAUCAGCAUCUGCUGCUCCAAUCGGUGGCUUUCCAAAUGCCAUAAAGCUGAGGCGCCCCAAGCAAGGGGUCCUGCGGGUAGGCUGGCUGCUCACCAGAAGCCCCAGGGCAGGGUCCAGACCAGCUUGCUCAUGUGCUGACACACUGCCUGGCUUACACACAGGGAGCGAGGCAGAGCUGCGCCUCCUCUGCGUCCCAUCACCUCCAGGAACCCACUGCCUCCUGCAUCUUCAAAGUGCCGCCAACCCGGCCCUGGUCACUGCACUCAUGACCCCGUUGCUCCAAGCCUGGUCUGCAGGCCCUUCGCCUGGGCUCAUCCCAGAGGGGCAAGCUGGCCACCUUGAGUCCACAUUGCCAGCAGGCAGAUAUUUAAUGAUCCAACUAAUUUUGGAAAACAUUAGAAUAAAAAACCAUAGGGGAAUUUAAAUCCCAGGCCCUGAACCAUGCUCCCUUCUCCAUAGGGAAGCUGGCACCCCCAGCCCUGCGACCAACACCCACGUCCCUUCCUUCAUUCAAGGAAGGCUAGGGACCCUGAUCUGAAAAGCUACCCCAGCCUCCCCUGGAAACCUCCAGGUAUGGCCAGAGCCCUUCAUGUGGGCAGCUGGGGCCAGGUCGCUGAGCUUGGGGCCUGGCCCAGCUCCCUGUUCACAGCCAUCCUCCCCUCCACAUCUGUGCCAGUGACUGCUCCUCCCAAGGACAUUCCCCAGGAGCUCCGGAGGUCUGGCUCUGCUCUGCAAAGGGUUGUUUAUCUUGCCUGGGAUUCCAAUCGCUGGUCUCCCGCCAUUGAUCUCCCUGGGGGGGUUUGCUUGGGUAUUUUUAUAAAUGCUACUUUGAUAGUUGCCCUUGCAGAGACUUGUUGUCUAUCAUGAAUGUCCUGCUCCAAACUAGGAACAGCCAAGAGGACCGCUCAUACCUUGAGACAGUUUAAAUGUAAAGCAGCGACAGCUUUCCAAGAGCCAGGGAGCUGCAGAGCCACAGGGAGAGGAGAGGGGGAGCCUCUGUGGGUCUCAAAUACAAUGCUGGUCAUCUCUGAAAUGCUUCUGUCCUCCCCAAACCCAGCAUAACGGCCUGUGAAAAGGUCCGUUCCCUCCUAGUAGAUCAAAUCUCCAAUUCUCAUGACUCCAAGCUGGCUUCAAAAUGUCGGCAGUGAAUCUUUACAUGUGAAUCUUUCUAUAUAGAAAAUAGGCCACAGGGAGGAACUUCCCUUACUGUUCCCCUACCUCUCUGCCCCGUCCUGAACGAGCCCACCGCCAAAACUCCUCUUCCUACGACCUGGCCCUGCCUGCCCAAAGUAACUAACUCCCUCCGUGACCUGGCUAAGCUAAGGCCCUAUGAACCCAGACCCUCAAGGCGGCCCGCCGGCCAUUUUCUCCCUGAAGAUGUGCCCUUCUGGUGCUGAGUAAAGCUUCAGGUCUGCCUCUAUUUUCCUUUUUGUAUUCUCUUUCACGUACUUUUGCUGUGUAUCAAGUAUUUUCUGUUUCCCACUUAAUCAGAUAGCCUGCAGAGGCACGACCCCACUUCCUGUGGACUAAGAACCAGGCCUCAGAGUUGGCAUUCUCAUUUGCAGCCCAUGUGCCUGGGCCCUCUUUGGAUCAAUGAAAGCCUUAGUGGAAAGCACUUAAUCCUAAACAGUAGUUUAUUGGCUCAUCCUCCAAAUUAUAGUAUCCAUUUGCUUGUGUAAACCCAGCAAUCACCAAUCAUAAGCAUGAACCACAAAAACCUACUUCAAGUAGGAUUUAGGCCCAGUUUUCAGUUUGGGUCUGACACAUUAUGCCUGAUCACAGGAAACCAUAAAUAAUUCCUAAGUUGGGUGUACAUCUAAUAAAGAUGUUUUCAUUGUUUGCAAAAUAAAACUCAAAUCAAGCAGGGCCACCAGGAAAGUAGGUGUCCAGACAGGGAGAGCUGGGCCUUGGCACUGACUCACUGCGACUUCUUGAAUCUAUCACCAGGUAAAAGAAGAUGCCCCUGUCUGUCUGCAGUUUUCACUUGGGAGAUUUUUUUUAGAAACAUUCAGUUAGGGGUUUAGGUACAGCCUAUUUUAGUUUGAAUCUAGAUGCUUGGUGUAGACUCUAGGCCUGCCUAGUCAUCAGCCAUCUCAUCUGCAGGGGAGGGAAAGGGAACCUGGGCCAGGAGCCAUGGGGCAGGACUUUGGGAAACCCCUGGGCCUAUGGGAAACCCAUUAGAAAUUUGUCCUGAUAACUGUUAUUCUGGUUUGGAUGUGAGGUGUCCCCCAAAAGCUCAUGUGUAAGACAAUGCAAGAAAAUUCAGAGAAGAAAUGACUGGGAUAAGAGAGCCUUAAGCCAAUCAGUGGAUCAUUCAACUGAUGAGAUUGAGUGCUGCCUCCCUCUGCCACAUUCUUCUGCCAUAAUGUUCAGCCCCAUCUUGAGCCCAAGAGGAAUGGUGUUGAACUUCUAUGGACUGAGACCUCUGAAACUGUGAGUCCCUAAAUAAACCUUUAUAAUUGUUCUAGUUGGGUCCUUUAGUCACAGUGGUGAAAAAGCUGACUAAAACAGAAAUCAGUACUGGGAGUUGAGGCUGUAGUUGUGAUGAACCUGUGUGGUUCAUGUUUUUUGGAGCAUUUUGGAAUUGGUGGGAGGAAUUUUGAGAUGUUUAGCAGUUCAAGCUGGAAAUGCUUUAGAUAGUUGUAAAUUGAGCUUAAUGGUUGAUUCUGUUAGAAGCUCAGACCAGAAUGUCAAUAGGACUGUGGACAGUGAAGACAGGGCUCAAGAGGGUUCAGAGAAGGAGGUCUCUAUUGGAAUUUUAAAUAGAGGCCAUUGGUGUUAUGUUCUGGCUGAGAAGUUGUCUGAAUUUUGUCUGUGUCCUGAGACGUUCUAUGAGGCUGAUUUUAAAAGUGAUGGACUCUUAAUCUGGUGGAAAAAAUACUUAGGUAGCACAGCAUUCAGGAGGUGGCAUGGAUAUUGCUGGCAGCUUUUAGCCAAGUUUAUUAUGAUAGGAGCAGAAAGCAGAGCAGAAAGAUUUCAAAAAACUUGGUCUUAGAAGAUGGGAAUAAAACUGGGCCUAAAGAAAUUGUAGUUGUUCAAGACUUUACUGCCACUAAGGAAAUGCUAAAGACUUUGCCCAGAGACAAUAAGAAAGAUGGCUUGAGGGGCAUCUCUGGAGCUUGGAAGACCACACCCAUCUCAGGCUCAAAGGAGUAAAAGUGAAAAUUCUCUUAAGACCAGUGGGGAAUCCUUCUUACACAAGGAGACCUAGGAUGUUUUUUCAACAUUCUCAGCUACCCAGACACUCGGAGGCUGCUUCAGCAAGGGAGGCUUGGCUGUGUUCAAGAUGGUGGCAGACCUUGGUGUCAACCAUGUGGUGCUGGUUCUGUAGGAAUGCAGGAUGCUGGAAUUAGGGGGCCAUAGAGGCUUCCAACAAGAUUUCAAAAGAAGGCGUUAGAGCCCAGGCAAAGUGCAGCAGGAUCAGAGGCACUCCCUGAGAUGUCAAAGUGUGGAAGUGUGAGGAAGAAGCCGAAGCUGCAGUGGAGACCCCUAAGAUUAAGAAAUGCCAAUAAUGUGGGACAGUGUCCUAGGAAAGCUGCAGGAAUCAAGCAGAGGCAGGCCACAGAAAGGCCACUUGGGCUGCAAUCAACAAGGUCACAGAGGCAGAGCUACAGAAGCUCGUUGAACAGAACAUCACAAUGCCAUGUGCCCCAGAUGCCAGACAUGGAGCCACAGGUAUUGUUUGUCCAGCUGGAUUUCAGUCUUGCUUUGGUCCUAUCUAUAAGGUCCUUACUUAGCAUCUGGACGGUCAUCUUAAGUGACAGCCGCCAUUUUAUGAAAAUGUUUUGCUUUCCCGCCAAAUUGUGUUUCUGAGAAAGGCUCCCUCACCCAACCCCACCCCUAACCUCCUGCAUUAGAACUCUCCGGCCCUAAUCCCUGAGCCUGCUCCAUAAAAGUCCUGGAGGCCAAGCCUGUGUUGCCUCUCUCUCCUGCAGAGAGAUGGCCUUUAUUUGUCAGCUCUGACAGAUAAACUCUCGUGUGUAGCUCUGCCUGGGCUCCGUCUCUCAUUUCUCGCUUGCCCAUCUCCCAUUCCUCACUUUCCCUUCACUAUCCUUUAUUUCUAUCCCCCUAUAUUUCUGAAUAGAAGUGUCUACUCUGUACCAUUAUAUAUUGGAUACUUUUAAAUUGCUUUAAUUUUAUAGGAGCUCACUUGCAAGAUUGCCUUGAGCCUCAGAGAAGACUUUCAACUUGAACUUUGACCAAUCUCGGAACUGUUGAGAGACUAUGGGGCCGUUUCAGAAUGGGCUGAAUGUCUUUUGCAUUGUCAAAUGGGUGUGAGCUUUUGGGGGCCAAAGUCAGAAUGUUAUGGCCUUGAUGUCAUGUGUGAGAUAAUGCAAGAAGAUUUGGAGGAACAAUUGGGAUGUAAAAGCCUUAACCUAAUCAGCGAAUCAGUCACCUGAUUGGAUUAAUUGAGUGUGAGCCACUUCCCUCUGCCAUACUCAUCUGCCAUGAAGUUCAGCCUCACCUUUAGCCCCAAGGAAUGGGACCUGCUGCCUGUGGAUUGAGACCUCUGAAACCGUGAGCCCCUAAAUAAGCUCUUCCUCCUUUAAAUUUGUUCUGGUCAGAUCCUUUAAUCAAAGCAGAAAAAAGCUGACUAAAACAACAUUGUGCUUCCUGGUUGACCAGAAGCUGUUGAUCUUCGUGGGACAGAGGCUCCGCCGGGGUCUCCACUGUGCACCGGUGCCAGUCCCAGGCCCACCUCCACCCUCCUGUCUGUCAUACCAGCUGCUUGCAUGGACUUUGAAGGACACAGGUUUGCACACGUGCCCAGAGGAGGAAAGAGCAAGCGAACGUGAAGACCCAGGACACUACAAGUGGCUGGAGGACUUUGUGGGUGUCACAUGAGGAGUGCAAGGAGCCCGUCUGCCCAAAGCCUCCCUCUCAAUGCCCAUCUAGGCAUCUGAACUCUUAAAGGUUCUUAAAUUUGCCUUCAUGCAAAGGAGGCUUGUGUGGGACGAGCCGUGACAUUGAUGCUUCACCAUCCAGGGAGGCUUCCUGGAAAAGGCAUCUUGGACAGACAAGCAAGAAGGCUCCAAGGGAAGGACGGCGCAUGAACGUGAGAUGUGGGGCCUGCCAUGGUGGAGGAUGGCAGGGCCACCCACCCAAGGAACCCUGAGGCCAGAAGAGGCAAGAGGUGGAGCCCAGCACCCAUGUGACCCCUAGGAGUUGGAGAUUUCUGUCUUCAUGAGGAAAAAAAAAGAAAGGGAGACAAGCUCCCCAGGGAGGAACCAAGGAGAGCCUGGCCCCAGGCCGCCCUUCCAGAAGCAUCUGUGCGGAACUGUGGAGGACUCAUUUUGUUUUGUUUCCAGUACUUCUUGAACAAGUAGUUGUGUAAAUUUGAUUACCAGAAAAAUGAAAUUUCAAAAGAAAUAUAGGACCCAAGUCCCAAAUUUAUUCUCCAAA